CAAAGAAUAGUAUAAUUAAGAACGAUAGCUUUGGGAGCUAUUGGUGGGGGUUAAAAUCCCUUUUCUUUGA
rnacentral:tRNA from 1 species